AAGUCGUAACAAGGUCUCCGUUGGUGAACCAGCGGAGGGAUCAUUACAGAGUUGCAAAACUCCCUAAACCAUUGUGAACCUUUACCACUAAACAGUUGCUUCGGCGGGUGGCGCGAGGGCUCCCCUUCACGGGGGGUGCCGGAGCGCCCUAGAAAGCCCGCCGGAGGUACCCAAACUCUUUGUUUUAAUUAAGGCCUCUCUGAGUAUUGUACUUAAAUAAGUCAAAACUUUCAACAACGGAUCUCUUGGUUCUG
rnacentral:misc_RNA from 1 species